AUACGUAGGUGGCAAGCGUUAUCCGGAUUUACUGGGCGUAAAGGGAGCGUAGGCGGAUAUUUAAGUGAGAUGUGAAAUACUCGGGCUUAACCUGAGUGCUGCAUUUCAAACUGGAAGUCUAGAGUGCAGGAGAGGAGAAGGGAAUUCCAUGUGUAGCGGUGAAAUGCGUAGAGAUUAGGAAGAACACCAGUGGCGAAGGCGAUUCUCUGGACUGUAACUGACGCUGAGGCUCGAAAGCGUGGGGAGC
rnacentral:rRNA from 1 species